rnacentral:rRNA from 1 species
AACGAACGCUGGCGGCAUGCCUAACACAUGCAAGUCGAACGAGACCUUCGGGUCUAGUGGCGCUCGGGUGCGUAACGCGUGGGAACCUGCCCUUAGGUUCGGAAUAACUCCCCGAAAGGGGUGCUAAUACCGGAUAAUGUCUUCGGACCAAAGAUUUAUCGCCUUUGGAUGGGCCCGCGUUGGAUUAGCUAGUUGGUAGGGUAAAGCCUACCAAGGCGACGAUCCAUAGCUGGUCUGAGAGGAUGAUCAGCCACACUGGGACUGGGACACGGCCCAGACUCCUACGGGAGGCAGCAGUGGGGAAUAUUGGACAAUGGGCGAAAGCCUGAUCCAGCAAUGCCGCGUGAGUGAUGAAGGCCUUAGGGUUGUAAAGCUCUUUUACCCGGGAUGAUAAUGACAGUACCGGGAGAAUAAGCUCCGGCUAACUCCGUG